rnacentral:misc_RNA from 1 species
UUUCCGUAGGUGAACCUGCGGAAGGAUCAUUAAUGAGUUGUCAUGGGGUUCGAUGCUGGCAGCCAGUUUUUGGAUGCAUGUGCUUGCCCUAACAAUCAUCUUCUUCCAAACACCUGUGCACAUUUUUGAGGGAGUCUUGAGUUGGUUGCCGCUCUUGGGUGAUUUUCUCACAUUCCCUUAAAUCAUUAUACGCUAUUAACAAUGUUGAACGUGCUCUGUGCCGCAAGGCCAUUAAUAUAAUACAACUUUUAACAACGGAUCUCUUGGCUCUCGCAUCGAUGAAGAACUCAGC